UUUGAAGUUUACAAAUUGGUCAUAAAUUGACUACUUAUUUGAAGGUUAUAGAAUCAGACAACUCGGAAUGCUUAGGUUAAUAUCUUGUAAAUAUAAGAGAAGGGGAAUAUGCUUACAGUACUGCAAUGCCACUUGUAUGGGUAGUUCCCCAAAACCAAGAGAUUCAUUCACAAUCCUUGCACAGUUGUAACUUGGGCAUGGUAAAUACACUGUGUUGUAAGAAUCAGUAAUUUCUUUGUUUUUAGUGUACACCAUAUGAUAUUGUAGCACAAGACUUCAAUUCAUAUUUGACAGUGAAAACACCUUACGCCCCUUUCCUAUAUUCUGUUCCAAGCAUACGUGGCACAGCAGUAUUACUUGUUUGGAUUUUUCUCAGAACUAAAUUUCUGUCUGACAAAUAGUCAUUGUUACGAAGCAUGUCUGUGGAAAGGAAGGGGAGGGAGAAUUCUUUAGAUUCCUACUUGUGGCUUGCAUUAAAUAAGGAGAAAUGGAAGGAUCUGCUAAAUACUUGGAAGUGCUGCACAGGGCAGAAGAUUACUUCCAACAGUCUGUUACCAAGCCAGAAAGCUCUUUUGAAGUGAGCCCAGGUGAUGAAAUCUUGACACUGCUACAGACAACAACUGUUGAUUUGAAGGAAUUUGAGAGAGAAGCAGCUUGUCUUCCUCCAGAGGAUGAUUUCAGGUCACCUGAUGAAUCCCAUGUUACCUUUGAUGUAGAUUCUUUUACAAAAGCGUUAGACAGAAUUUUAGGGGCAGACUCAGAAGAGCUGGAUUCUGAUGGUCUGGAUGAAGAGGAGGAGUUUGAUUUCUCGAAUGAGGAUGAUGAAGACUUAGAUGUGGAAGAUCAAAGGCAAGACCAGAAGGUGCCGCCUAAUGAGCUUAUAGGCAGUCUCAAGUCAUACAUGAGUGAGAUGGACCGUGAACUGGCACAUACCAACGUUGGUAAAAGUUUCACUGUCCAAAAGAGAGGGGCAAGUUCUGUUAAUGCAACUACGUCUCAAAGUGCUGGCCCUGAUGAUACUGAGUUGACACCAGUUGAUGUGGAUCAGAACCUGGUAGCUAACCUGCUCGAAUCCUACAGUGCUCAAUCUGGACUGGCAGGACCCACCUCUAACAUUUUACAGAGCAUGGGAGUAUGUUUACCUGAAAAUGCAGAUCAUAUUGGCUCUAACAAUCGAGCCACGGAAUAAAAGGCUGUCCUAGUGCAGAAAACAUGGCUGAUUGAGAAAUGAAGCACAGAAAAACUAGCAGUAUUUGGAAUAAGAGACAAAAGAUGACAAAUAUCUGGUAAAAUGCUCCAGUACAGCAUCACAAAUAUGCAUGGAAUGGAAGUGGUUGAAGGAUUUUCAAACGACUGGCAACACAGGAUGAUGCAUCAGCUGUCGUUGGAAACAAUAUACCAUUUACCAAUAUGCUGGUGUGUGAGAGCAGGGAAAAGGCAUGCUUUUCACCAUAGCUUAAGCCUGAGAGGGUGGUGUCCUUUUUUUUUUUUUUUUUUUUUUCCUGUGCUGUUCACUUAAAAAAAUACAUUCUGUGUCAUAAAACCCUACCUGCCUAACUUUGCCUUGUAACAGUAGUGACUAUAAAUGCUGAGGAAAUGAGCGCUCCACCUUUUAUCAGAGAAAUCUCUUUGUAUUUGCUACGUAAUACAAGGAAGGGGUAUCUGUGAGGCACAUAAAUGAAGACCUGUUCCAAAGCGCCAGGUAAGGCUGUGGGAAGGAUCAACUGCUUGUUAGAGGCUUAGCAUCUGCUGUGAAGCCUGCAGAGCAGCAACAUGUAUUACAUUUUGUGGUUUGUUUGUAAUUACUGUAUCAAGCCACUUUGAAUUGAAUGUGUGAUUAUCUGUGUAUUUGGCAAGUGCCAGAGAUACCUUGAUUGAUCUGUGGUUUGUGGCCAGCUCAUGUCCAAGAAUUCCUUAGGUCUUCAUUUCCUUGGGUUUACUUGAUAACUCCUUGCUAAAUAAGGCUGGAAAUGAUUUUCUCUUGCCAAAUUCUGUUGUGGCUGUUGAACUAUCUAUAUUAAAAAAACCCAAACCAAACCAAAAACAACCAACCAAAACCCACAAGAACAAAAUGGGGAAAGUAAUUUCCCUUCCUCCUGUGAAAUACCUAUAUUGUUCAUGUGAAUGUGUAAUAAACAUAAGAAAUAUAAGCAAUGUCAUAAUAACUGUAACUUUUGUUGUAGUCCUCGUGGUACUAUACAGCCGGUUGUGGGAAACAGUAAA